rnacentral:rRNA from 1 species
AGCAGCCGCGGUAAUUCCAGCUCCAAUAGCGUAUAUUAAAGUUGUUGCAGUUAAAAAGCUCGUAGUUGAAUUUCGGGAUUAGUAGUCUGGUCGUGCCACUGGUAUGUACUGGCCUUACUGACUUCUCCUUCUUGAAGAACUGUAAUGUUAUUAAUUUGGUGUUGCGGGGAAUCUGGACUGUUACUUUGAAAAAUUAGAGUGUUUAAAGCAGGCUAACGCUUGAAUACAUUAGCAUGGAAUAAUGAAAUAGGACGUUCGAUCCUAUUUUGUUGGUUUCUAGGAUUGACGUAAUGAUUAAUAGGGAUAGUUGGGGGCAUUAGUAUUCAAUUGUCAGAGGUGAAAUUCUUGGAUUUAUUGAAGACUAACUACUGCGAAAGCAUUUGCCAAGGAUGUUUUCAUUAAUCAAGAACGAAAGUUAGGGGAUCGAAGACGAUCAGAUACCGUCGUAGUCUUAACCAUAAACUAUGCCGAUUAGGGAUCGGAUGAUGUUAAUUUUAUAAUGACCAUUCGGCGCCUUACG